AGAAAUCUGCAUUGCAAAACCAUCCUCAAGGAUCCCUUGAAGUCGAGUUUCGAGUCGAGGAGCGUUUGUGAAUACGGGCCUAAGUUUU
rnacentral:lncRNA from 1 species